AUUGAACGCUGGCGGCAGGCCUAACACAUGCAAGUCGAACGGUAACAGGAAACAGCUUGCUGUUUCGCUGACGAGUGGCGGACGGGUGAGUAAUGUCUGGGAAACUGCCUGAUGGAGGGGGAUAACUACUGGAAACGGUAGCUAAUACCGCAUAACGUCGCAAGACCAAAGAGGGGGACCCUCGGGCCUCUUGCCAUCGGAUGCGCCCAGAUGGGAUUAGCUUGUUGGUGGGGUAACGGCUCACCAAGGCGACGAUCCCUAGCUGGUCUGAGAGGAUGACCAGCCACACUGGAACUGAGACACGGUCCAGACUCCGACGGGAGGCAGCAGUGGGGAAUAUUGCACAAUGGGCGCAAGCCUGAUGCAGCCAUGCCGCGUGUAUGAAGAAGGCCUUCGGGUUGUAAAGUACUUUCAGCGGGGAGGAAGGGAGUAAAGUUAAUACCUUUGCUCAUUGACGCUACCCGCAGAAGAAGCACCGGCUAACUCCGU
rnacentral:rRNA from 1 species